rnacentral:rRNA from 1 species
AUGGCUCAGAUUGAACGCUAGCGGGAUGCCUUACACAUGCAAGUCGAACGGCAGCGCGGACUUCGGUCUGGCGGCGAGUGGCGAACGGGUGAGUAAUGUAUCGGAACGUGCCCAGUAGCGGGGGACAACCACUCGAAAGAGUGGCUAAUACCGCAUACGCCCUACGGGGAAAGGGGGGGAUCGCAAGACCUCUCACUAUUGGAGCGGCCGAUAUCGGAUUAGCUAGUUGGUGGGGUAAAGGCCUACCAAGGCGACGAUCCGUAGCUGGUUUGAGAGGACGACCAGCCACACUGGGACUGAGACACGGCCCAGACUCCUACGGGAGGCAGCAGUGGGGAAUUUUGGACAAUGGGGGAAACCCUGAUCCAGCCAUUCCGCGUGUGCGAUGAAGGCCUUCGGGUUGUAAAGCACUUUUGGCAGGAAAGAAAUCGUGUGGGUUAAUACCCUGCGCGGAUGACGGUACCUGCAGAAUAAGCACCGGCUAACUACGUG